rnacentral:rRNA from 1 species
UGAGGAAUCUUGCGCAAUGGGGGAAACCCUGACGCAGCAACGCCGCGUGAGUGAGGAAGGUCUUCGGAUCGUAAAGCUCUGUCAGUUGGAAAGAAAUGUCUGAGAGUCAAUCCCUUUCAGGCUUGACGGUACCAACAGAGGAAGCACCGGCUAACUCCGUGCCAGCAGCCGCGGUAAUGCGGGGGGUGCAAGCGUUGUUCGGAAUUAUUGGGCGUAAAGAGCGUGUAGGCGGCCGGAUAUGUCAGAUGUGAAAGCCCCGGGCUUAACCCGGGAAGUGCACUUGAAACUGUCCGGCUCGAGUAGGGGAGAGGGAAGUGGAAUUCCUGGUGUAGAGGUGAAAUUCGUAGAUAUCAGGAGGAACACCGGUGGCGAAGGCGACUUCCUGGCCCUAUACUGACGCUGAGACGCGAGAGCGUGGGUAGCAAACAG